rnacentral:rRNA from 2 species
AAUGGGUCAGCGACUUAUAUUCUGUAGCAAGGUUAACCGAAUAGGGGAGCCGGAGGGAAACCGAGUCUUAACCGGGCGUUAAGUUGCAGGGUAUAGACCCGAAACCCGGUGAUCUAGCCAUGGGCAGGUUGAAGGUUGGGUAACACUAACUGGAGGACCGAACCGACUAAUGUUGAAAAAUUAGCGGAUGACCUGUGGCUGGGGGUGAAAGGCCAAUCAAACCGGGAGAUAGCUGGUUCUCCCCGAAAGCUAUUUAGGUAGCGCCUCGUGAAUUCAUCUCCGGGGGUAGAGCACUGUUUCGGCUAGGGGGCCAUCCCGGCUUACCAACCCGAUGCAAACUGCGAAUACCGGAGAAUGUUAUCACGGGAGACACACGGCGGGUGCUAACGUCCGUCGUGAAGAGGGAAACAACCCAGACCGCCAGCUAAGGUCCCAAAGUCAUGGUUAAGUGGGAAACGAUGUGGGAAGGCCCAGACAGCCAGGAUGUUGGCUUAGAAGCAGCCAUCAUUUAAAGAAAGCGUAAUAGCUCACUGGUCGAGUCGGCCUGCGCGGAAGAUGUAACGGGGCUAAACCAUGCACCGAAGCUGCGGCAGCGACGCUGAUGCGUUGUUGGGUAGGGGAGCGUUCUGUAAGCCUGUGAAGGUGGCCUGUGAGGGUUGCUGGAGGUAUCAGAAGUGCGAAUGCUGACAUAAGUAACGAUAAAGCGGGUGAAAAGCCCGCUCGCCGGAAGACCAAGGGUUCCUGUCCAACGUUAAUCGGGGCAGGGUGAGUCGACCCCUAAGGCGAGGCCGAAAGGCGUAGUCGAUGGGAAACGGGUUAAUAUUCCCGUACUUGGUGUUACUGCGAAGGGGGGACGGAGAAGGCUAUGUUGGCCGGGCGACGGUUGUCCCGGUUUAAGCGUGUAGGUGUGUGUUCCAGGUAAAUCCGGUUCACUUUAACACUGAGGCGUGAUGACGAGGCACUACGGUGCUGAAGCAACAAAUGCCCUGCUUCCAGGAAAAGCCUCUAAGCAUCAGGUAACAUCAAAUCGUACCCCAAACCGACACAGGUGGUCAGGUAGAGAAUACCAAGGCGCUUGAGAGAACUCGGGUGAAGGAACUAGGCAAAAUGGUGCCGUAACU